rnacentral:rRNA from 1 species
GCCGGAGGGAGCAAGCGUUGUUCGGAAUCACUGGGCGUAAAGCGCGUGUAGGCGGUUUGAUAAGUCGGAUGUGAAAGCCCGAGGCUCAACCUCGGAAGUGCAUUCGAAACUGUCAGGCUUGAGGACGGGAGAGGGAAGUGGAAUUCCUGGUGUAGAGGUGAAAUUCGUAGAUAUCAGGAGGAACACCGGUGGCGAAGGCGGCUUCCUGGACCGAUACUGACGCUGAGACGCGAAAGCGUGGGGAGAAAACAGG